rnacentral:pre_miRNA from 1 species
CUAGACAGCUGGAUCCACCGACGAGGACGUCGAGGUCACCGGAUCCGGCGGUCCCGGCCUCCUCGUUGGCAGGUGCGGCGGCUGGA